GGAAGGAUCAUUCGUAUGAUAAACAAACAACCUCAGCUGGUGUCAACAACCUCUGAUCUCUCUUCAAAAUCAACUUUUACACUUUCAACGAUGGAUGUCUCGGGUCUCUCAACGAAGAAGAGCGCAGCAAAUUGCGAUACGCAGUAUGACUAGCAUCCUCUGUGAAUCAUCAGAUUCUUGAACGCAAAUGGCAGUUGUUUGGUUCUCCAACGACUAUGUUUGCUUCAGUGUCAUAUAAAAUCGUUCCUGUUCUACCAACAGGGUGUUUGACUGGUGCAAUUGCAUCGGUUUGAAGUUUUGUCACGCUAACGUUGACUUGCAAUCGGCUACCCCGCUUUGCUGUUGAUGUUUAGUGAUACAAUUGACGCUUUUGACCUGAAGUCAAGCAAGGCUACCCGCUGAAUUUAAGCAUAUCAAUAAGCGGAGGAAACGAAACUAACUAGGAUUCCCUUAGUAGUGGCGAACGAAGUGGGAAGAGCCCAAACCGUCAAUCGUUUGUCUUCGACAAUCGAGUUGAGGUUCUGCUGGGUAACCAGACGUGCAUCAGGGUUAAGCCUCGUGAAUGCGAGCGUCAUAGAGGGUGAGGACCCCGUCCUUACUCUGAAUGCUUCGUCGUACGGUUCUCAGUGACUGAGUCGUGUUCCUUGGGAGUGGAGCGCAAAUUGGGUGGUAGCUUUCAUCCUCGGCUAAAUACUGGAGAGACACCGAUAGCGAAGAAGUACCGUGAGGGAAAGAUGAAAAGAAUCUCGAGAGGGAUCUUAAAAUUGCCUGAAACCGUUGAAAGGGAAGCGAUUGUGGAUUUAGUUGCCAGAUGCUCAUCUGCUCUGUGCUCGUUUGGCCUGUUCUUUACCGUCAGGACAUUCAAGUUUCAGUGUUUGGUGAUGCUUCGCAAGCUGGUUGGGUCUAGAUCUGUGGCGGGCUGUUGAUUCAGACUGAGCUUGUCUCAAGUGGUCUUCGGUUCAGCGCUGAUUUGGGCGAGUGAUGCAACCAUCGCAAAAAUCCUCAAACGACCCGUCUUGAAACACGGACCAAGGAGUCUAACUUACGUGCAAGUCCUAAGGUGGCAAACCUUGAGGCGUAAUGAAAGUGAUAGUUUGGAUGUCUUCAGCACAAACGACCGACUCUCCUCGGAGGGUUCGUGUAUGAGCAUGUAGGUUCGGACCCGAAAGAUGGUGAACUAUGCCUGAAUAGGGUGAAGCCAGGGGAAACCCUGGUGGUGGCUCGCAGCGAUACUGACGUGCAAAUCGUUCGUCAAAUUUGGGUAUAGGGGCGAAAGACUAAUCGAACCAUCUAGUAGCUGGUUCCCUC
rnacentral:misc_RNA from 1 species